UUGAAAUAAACCUGAUGGGUUGUUGCUGGUUCUCUAGGGAGCAUGUGCACGCCUUGUCAUCUUUAUAUCUCCACCUGUGCACCUUUUGUAGGCCUUUCAGGUCUAUGUUGCUCCAUUUACCCCAAUGUAUGUUAAUAGAAUGUUGUGCCUAUAUAAUAUAUA
rnacentral:misc_RNA from 1 species